rnacentral:rRNA from 1 species
AGUGAACGCUGGCGGUAGGCCUAACACAUGCAAGUCGAACGGCGGCACAGUAAGAGCUUGCUCUUACGGGUGGCGAGUGGCGGACGGGUGAGGAAUACAUCGGAAUCUACUUUUUCGUGGGGGAUAACGUAGGGAAACUUACGCUAAUACCGCAUACGACCUACGGGUGAAAGCAGGGGAUCUUCGGACCUUGCGCGAUUGAAUGAGCCGAUGUCGGAUUAGCUAGUUGGCGGGGUAAAGGCCCACCAAGGCGACGAUCCGUAGCUGGUCUGAGAGGAUGAUCAGCCACACUGGAGCUGAGACACGGUCCAGACUCCUACGGGAGGCAGCAGUGGGGAAUAUUGGACAAAGGGCGCAAGCCUGAUCCAGCCAUACCGCGUGGGUGAAGAAGGCCUUCGGGUUGUAAAGCCCUUUUGUUGGGAAAGAAAAGCAGCAGGUUAAUACCCCGCUGUUCUGACGGUACCCAAAGAAUAAGCACCGGCUAACUUCGUG